rnacentral:rRNA from 1 species
GCUCAUGAUGAACGCUAGCUACAGGCUUAACACAUGCAAGUCGAGGGGCAGCAUGGUCUUAGCUUGCUAAGGCCGAUGGCGACCGGCGCACGGGUGAGUAACACGUAUCCAACCUGCCGUCUACUCUUGGACAGCCUUCUGAAAGGAAGAUUAAUACAAGAUGGCAUCAUGAGUCCGCAUGUUCACAUGAUUAAAGGUAUUCCGGUAGACGAUGGGGAUGCGUUCCAUUAGAUAGUAGGCGGGGUAACGGCCCACCUAGUCUUCGAUGGAUAGGGGUUCUGAGAGGAAGGUCCCCCACAUUGGAACUGAGACACGGUCCAAAUUCCUACGGGAGGCAGCAGUGAGGAAUAUUGGUCAAUGGGCGCAGGCCUGAACCAGCCAAGUAGCGUGAAGGAUGACUGCCCUAUGGGUUGUAAACUUCUUUUAUAAAGGAAUAAAGUCGGGUAUGGAUACCCGUUUGCAUGUACUUUAUGAAUAAGGAUCGGCUAACUCCGUGCCAGCAGCCGCGGUAAUACGGAGGAUCCGAGCGUUAUCCGGAUUUAUUGGGUUUAAAGGGAGCGUAGAUGGAUGUUUAAGUCAGUUGUGAAAGUUUGCAGCUCAACCGUAAAAUUGCAGUUGAUACUGGAUAUCUUGAGUGCAGUUGAGGCAGGCGGAAUUCGUGGUGUAGCGGUGAAAUGCUUAGAUAUCACGAAGAACUCCGAUUGCGAAGGCAGCCUGCUAAGCUGCAACUGACAUUGAGGCUCGAAAGUGUGGGUAUCAAACAGGAUUAGAUACCCUGGUAGUCCACACGGUAAACGAUGAAUACUCGCUGUUUGCGAUAUACAGCAAGCGGCCAAGCGAAAGCGUUAAGUAUUCCACCUGGGGAGUACGCCGGCAACGGUGAAACUCAAAGGAAUUGACGGGGGCCCGCACAAGCGGAGGAACAUGUGGUUUAAUUCGAUGAUACGCGAGGAACCUUACCCGGGCUUAAAUUGCAGAUGAAUUACGGUGAAAGCCGUAAGCCGCAAGGCAUCUGUGAAGGUGCUGCAUGGUUGUCGUCAGCUCGUGCCGUGAGGUGUCGGCUUAAGUGCCAUAACGAGCGCAACCCUUGUUGUCAGUUACUAACAGGUUCCGCUGAGGACUCUGACAAGACUGCCAUCGUAAGAUGUGAGGAAGGUGGGGAUGACGUCAAAUCAGCACGGCCCUUACGUCCGGGGCUACACACGUGUUACAAUGGGGGGUACAGAGGGCCGCUACCACGCGAGUGGAUGCCAAUCCCCAAAACCUCUCUCAGUUCGGACUGGAGUCUGCAACCCGACUCCACGAAGCUGGAUUCGCUAGUAAUCGCGCAUCAGCCACGGCGCGGUGAAUACGUUCCCGGGCCUUGUACACACCGCCCGUCAAGCCAUGGGAGCCGGGGGUACCUGAAGUGCGUAACCGCGAGGAGCGCCCUAGGGUAAAACUG